rnacentral:misc_RNA from 1 species
AACGCACAUUGCGCCCCGUGGUAUUCCGCGGGGCAUGCCUGUUCGAGCGUCAUUAUGACCACUCACGCCUGGCGUGGUGUUGAGGCACGCGGUUCCGCGGCCCUCAAAUCCAGUGGCGGCGCCGGCUGGCUCUGAGCGUAGUAAAACUUCUCGCUUGAGGGUCCUCCCGGUGGCUCGCCAGAACCCCCAACUUCUUAAGGUUGACCUCGGAUCAGGUAGGGAUACCCGCUGAACUUAA